CCUACGGGAGGCAGCAGUGGGGAAUAUUGGACAAUGGGGGCAACCCUGAUCCAGCCAUGCCGCGUGUGUGAAGAAGGCCCUCGGGUUGUAAAGCACUUUCAGUGAGGAAGAACGCCUGGUGGUUAAUACCCAUCAGGAAAGACAUCACUCACAGAAGAAGCACCGGCUAACUCCGUGCCAGCAGCCGCGGUAAUACGGAGGGUGCGAGCGUUAAUCGGAAUUACUGGGCGUAAAGCGCGCGUAGGUGGCUUGAUAAGCCGGUUGUGAAAGCCCCGGGCUCAACCUGGGAACGGCAUCCGGAACUGUCAAGCUAGAGUGCAGGAGAGGAAGGUAGAAUUCCCGGUGUAGCGGUGAAAUGCGUAGAGCUCGGGAGGAAUACCAGUGGCGAAGGCGGCCUUCUGGACUGACACUGACACUGAGGUGCGAAAGCGUGGGUAGCAAACAGGAUUAGAUACCCCAGUAGUC
rnacentral:rRNA from 1 species